GAUACAGAAAAGCCUGUAGCUAUAGACAGGAUUAACAAAUGUUAUAUAUUGAGACUUUUUUCAAAUUUUUUUUCUGGUACCGGGAAUCAAACUUGUGACCUUGCGCUUGCCAGGCAGGCGCUGCGCCACUGAGCUAAAUCCCCAGCCCUCUCAAAUUUUGAAGAUUCUGUCCCAGGCAAACUAUAAGAAAUAUGUUCAUGGAUUUGAGAAAUCCUGACACUUUCAUUUAACAUGGAAUUAUAGGAUGCCUAUUAUAUGACAAGGCAUUCUAGAAUACAAUGACAUACAGACAUGAUUUCUACUAAGACCUUACAUUCUAGGAGAGAAAAAACACAUUCAGCAACCAUAAUAUGAUGUAAUACAUGACAAGUACAGAAUGCAACAAGAUAUUCCCAAUGAAUCUGAGCUCUGGAUGUGCAACAAUUUUAAUUUUGUUCUUCACAGAAUGGAAGUGAUGGGUGUCUUACAAUGCAGCCCAGGAUGGCCUUGAAUGCACAAUCUUCCUGCCUCAGUCUCAGGAUUAAAGGCCUCUGCCACCCUGCCCAGCUCAGAUAAGGAUUUCUUGGAGGAUUUCCUACUGUCUUCAUCUAGAAGACUGGAAGCACAGCAGAACUCACAAAGCACUGGGAAAUUCAAGUGAUACUUAAGGAUACAGUAAAGCAGGUUCUUGGAGGGACUGACAGAUCAACCAGCCUUAGAAGAGAUAAGAGAAACAAACCGGCCUGCAAGGAAUGGUUCUUCACAAUACACAGUUCCAGUACUCUCUUAUUUUCUCCAAUCAUUGCACAGCAUUCUCCAGCCACCUUGCCUUCCAAGAUAGUAACACCUUAUAUAGCAACUAGGUGUAGUAACUAACUGAAAACUGGGACUAUGUAACCCCACGGAAAACUUAAAAGUUAACUACACACUAUAUAACCUCCCAACAAAAAAGCAAGACUACUGAGAUGUCAAGUAUGUCCUACAAAAAGGUCAAGAAAGCAAAAAACGUGCUGUCAGUGUAAGCGAUGCAUGUGUAUGGAACGUGCUCUUAUCAUGUAUGUAGAUUGCCUUAGAUAUGAUAAUUAAGAUAAAGAUUUUUUUCUAGAGCUUCAUUGUAGUUCAUAUGGGAAUUUAUUUCUGGUGUUCUUUUUAGACUUUGUACACCAAAAACCAGUAGAUGUAGAAAAAUUUGAUGCUUUUCUAUAAACUCAAUAAAUAUUAAAAACUCAGUAUUUUUGUGAUUUUUUCCUGUGAAGUACUCAUUACUUAACAUAAUAAAACUCAUAAAUUAAAAUUAAUACAUCAAUAAAGAUAUUCUAAGGAAUAUUUAGACAGACUCACAUUUAUGCGCCUUGAUGACAAAAUGAGUCUCACGUUCUGAGGGUGAUGAUGAUAACAGAUGUUAACUGCAAGGCUUUAUGUCUUUUUAGAAUGUCCCCGCUCACCAGGCCUGGCCUCUCUGAACACUGAACCAACUCUGGUGUGACUUACACAACUGCCUUCAGAAUCAUCUACACACCCAUUCAUAGAGGGUUUGGGACAUACAGUGUUUUUUAAGACACUAUUUAAAUGGUAUUUGCAUAAGCCACUAUAAUAUGGGUUUUCAAUGUUUCUGACAAGAGUAGUUGUUGGAUCAUCACUAUUGGGACAAAGUAAAAUAAGCAAAACUUCCAGGCACACUGUGAAAACAAUACAGAGAAAUGAGACUUUUUGAGACUAGUUUAAACCUUGAAUUUGGGCUAUCAAGCUUAAACAAACGUGAAUAGCUAUCCUUCAAAGGAAAGCAGUGAUAGAGUUUUAGUGUACUACAGAGGCUCACAGAAGAGAAGGAACCACACAUUUUCCAUCAGUCCACAAUGGCACCAGUCAAGAGUCAUAAGAGCAUGAAGACCAAACCAACUUCACAAACAGAUCCUGUAAGUUUGGGCUUAUUUUUCAACAACUAGAAAACUUCAAGUCUACUCUUUUCCAAGAAAAGCUUAGGGUGAGUGUAUUUUUCUAUAUCUGUGCCAGGGGAAGGCAGCCCUCUGCUGACGAUCACAAGAGCUGAGAACUCUUCUCUCCUAACCUAUCAAAGAUCACACCCACCAAUUCCACUACUACCUGGCUUCCAAUAUCACCAAGACUAGUGAAGUAUGCUGAGUAAGAGAUCAUCAGCAGGUUAAGACCAAUGUGGGGCCAGAAGCCUAAGUCAAACCCAGGGAUCUGCACCUACAAAUACUUUAAGAUGGAU